rnacentral:rRNA from 1 species
UUCUGGUUGAUCCUGCCAGAGGCUACCGCUAUUGGAGUUCGAUUAAGCCAUGCGAGUCGAGAGUCUUAGGGACUCGGCGCACCGCUCAGUAACACGUGGGUAACCUGCCCUAUGCUGGGGAAUAACCUCGGGAAACUGAGAAUAAUGCCCCAUAGCCCACUACGCCUGGAACGGUGAGUGGGUGAAAGCUCCGGCGGCAUAGGAUGGGCCUGCGCCGUAUCAGGUUGUAGGGGGUGUAAAGUACCCUCUAGCCAUCAACGCGUACGGGUGUUGGGAGACAUUGCCCGGAGAUGGAUUCUGAGACACGAAUCCAGACCCUACGGGGUGCAGCAGGCGCGAAAACUUGGCAAUGCGAGCAAUCGUGACCAGGGAACUCCAAGUGCUUAGGGUAAGACCUAAGCUUUUCUUGACUCUUCAAAGGUCUUGGAAUAAGGGGUGGGUAAGGACGGUGCCAGCCGCCGCGGUAAUACCGGCGCCUCAAGUGGUAGUCGCUUUUAUUGGGCCUAAAACGUCCGUAGCCGGUCUGGUGCAUUCGUGGGUAAAUCAACCCGCUCAACGGGUUGAAUUCUGCGAGCACGGCCAGACUUGGGACCGGGAGAGGUGUGGGGUACUCUCAGGGUAGGGGUA